GGAUAGAAAAUUUCACCUUGAGGAACUCCAGCAAGGAUUUCGCUUACACUUUAAAGGCUUCACCGACACGAACGCUAAAGUAGCGAUCAGGAAGAUAAGAUUUGAUAAUAAGGAAAUAAACUGGGUGCAGACAUUUUUUUUAAUUUGUUCAAGAUCCCGUCGUGCCGAACCCUGUCAAAAGCUUGAGGUGUCAAGAAACGCACCAGUGUAGUAGGAUUUUUUCUCUAGUGCCUAGGAGAUGGCGUCUAUUACUCUGUGUACUUGGUGUAUAGUUGAGUGGGAGCUACGGAAACCAAACUGUGAGUCCGGGAGAAUAGAGUUUGAAGAUAAGCUUGGUAAGAUUCUUUUUAGUAAAAAUCUUUCAGGGAUUUUUGAAAAAAAAGGUAGGAGGCUUAUAGACCGAAAAGAAAAAAAAAAUCUGGUUAUUUAUUAGGUUUAAUUACAAAGAUAAUUAUUGAAUAUUUUCAAAGAAUUGGGAAGUAAGAAAGUCUUAGAACGGAGUCAAAUAAAUGCGAAUGGUGAAUGAUGGCGCUUUCUUGAGCAACCAUCUAGCUACCUCAUUGGUAAUGAGGUCAAAACCGGGAGAUAUAUUUAGGGGGUAUUUAUUAAUGACAUAUUUGAUUUCGUUUGGCGUGAAAUGUUUAGUUGGACGAGAGACAGGGAGGGAAGAAUUGAGAAAAUCUUCUACAGAGAUUAGGAUAUGGGGAGAGAAAUAUCAGGAUGGGGUUGGAAUAUUUCAGACGAAUGGUGUUAAAAUAAUUCAGCUUUAUAUCAGAGUCGGAUACAACAAAA